AACGUCGCAAGACCAAAGUGGGGGACCUUCGGGCCUCAUGCCAUCAGAUGUGCCCAGAUGGGAUUAGCUAGUAGGUGGGGUAAUGGCUCACCUAGGCGACGAUCCCUAGCUGGUCUGAGAGGAUGACCAGCCACACUGGAACUGAGACACGGUCCAGACUCCUACGGGAGGCAGCAGUGGGGAAUAUUGCACAAUGGGCGCAAGCCUGAUGCAGCCAUGCCGCGUGUAUGAAGAAGGCCUUCGGGUUGUAAAGUACUUUCAGCGAGGAGGAAGGCAUUAAGGUUAAUAACCUUGGUGAUUGACGUUACUCGCAGAAGAAGCACCGGCUAACUCCGUGCCAGCAGCCGCGGUAAUACGGAGGGUGCAAGCGUUAAUCGGAAUUACUGGGCGUAAAGCGCACGCAGGCGGUUUGUUAAGUCAGAUGUGAAAUCCCCGGGCUCAACCUGGGAACUGCAUUUGAAACUGGCAAGCUUGAGUCUUGUAGAGGGGGGUAGAAUUCCCGGUGUAACGGGUGAAAAUGCGUAGAGAUUCUGGAGGGAAUACCCGGUGGGCGAAAGGCCGGCCCCCCCUGGGAA
rnacentral:rRNA from 1 species